rnacentral:rRNA from 1 species
GACGAACGCUGGCGGCGUGCUUAACACAUGCAAGUGGAGCGACGAACCUGGCUUCGGCCAGGGGCAGAGCCGCGAACGGGUGAGUAACACGUGGGUAACGUGCCCCAAUGACUGGGACAACCCGGGGAAACCCGGGCUAAUACCGGAUGUGCUCCUUCCACAUCAGUGGAUUGAGUAAAGGUAGCUUCGGCUUCCGCAUUGGGAUCGGCCCGCGGCGCAUUAGCUUGUUGGUGGGGUAACGGCCACCAAGGCUUCGAUGCGUAGCUGGUCUGAGAGGACGAUCAGCCACACUGGGACUGAGACACGGCCCAGACUCCUACGGGAGGCAGCAGGUGGGGAAUCUUGCGCAAUGCACGAAAGUGUGACGCAGCAACGCCGCGGUGGGGGAAGACGGCC